UACGUAGGGUGCGAGCGUUGUCCGGAAUUACUGGGCGUAAAGAGCUCGUAGGUGGUUUGUCGCGUUGUUCGUGAAAUCUCACGGCUUAACUGUGAGCGUGCGGGCGAUACGGGCAGACUGGAGUACUGCAGGGGAGACUGGAAUUCCUGGUGUAGCGGUGGAAUGCGCAGAUAUCAGGAGGAACACCGGUGGCGAAGGCGGAUCUCUGGGCCGAUACUGACGCUGAGGAGCGAAAGCGUGGGGAGCGAACAGG
rnacentral:rRNA from 1 species